CUGAGGGGAGGUUGGCCCUCUCCUCCUGCCUCCUCCAGAAGGGAUUCCUCACUCUGUGGCACCAGCAGCACAGCUCCCCACUCACAGCAAGGAUGUAUACACAGCUGUAUCAUGCAGGGCGUUGCCCAGGUUGACCAAUGAGCUCUCUGCUUCCUGCCUACCCUGCUGUGGACUGUUCCUCCUCUGUGAUGCCGCUCUGCCAUACUGCCCUGCUCUGGAAGCAGCUGACUGUGGACUGAAACCUCUACAAACUGUGAGCCAAAAUAAACCUUUCCUCCUUUAACCUUCA